UAUAUUAAGUAAAGUUAAUACCACCUUCAGC
rnacentral:piRNA from 1 species